rnacentral:rRNA from 1 species
UACGUAGGUGGCAAGCGUUAUCCGGAAUUAUUUGGCGUAAAGAGCGCGCAGGUGGUUGAUUAAGUCUGAUGUGAAAGCCCACGUCUUAACCGUGGAGGGUCAUUGGAAACUGGUCGACUUGAGUGCAGAAGAGGGAAGUGGAAUUCCAUGUGUAGCGGUGAAAUGCGUAGAGAUAUGGAGGAACACCAGUGGCGAAGGCGGCUUCCUGGUCUGUAACUGACGCUGAGGCGCGAAAGCGUGGGGAGCAAACGGGGAUUAGAUACCCCGGUAGGU